UGUUAUUGCCCUUGGAGAGGUCUUCCUUGCCUUAUGCAGCCUACAAUGCCUACAAAGAAUUCCUGGCAAAGGACACCAAUGCACUACUCCUGUAUGGAUGCAUGGUGGAGUUCGGAAGGUUGUUGUAUGAGCAGUAAAUCAGAGAAGGGUAGAGGAACUUACAGCGACAGUGAAGGCAACUGGCGUGCCAUUCCGGAUGGAGAGUGUAGGUGAUGAUGGAAAAGGCCCGGUGAAGAUAUGGACUCAGCUGAAUGCCAAACAGCUGGAGACGUUGUUUGCAAGCUCGAUCUGAAGGCUGUGCUCCAGGACAGGUGGAACCCUAGAGGACUUAGUGUCCGCAGCUUGUACUGUUUACAACUUAGGAACGAGCUGGACAAACAUGGUCUAAACACCUAAGGAAGAAGGGCCAUUCUCAUUGACCGACUCAUCGAAGAACUUGGAAGU